rnacentral:lncRNA from 1 species
UGUCCUCUCCUCUCCUCUCUCUGAUAUCUCACCUCUCUCUUUUUCUUUCUCUUCCUCUCUCUCACUCUCUUUCUCUUCCUCUCUCUAUUUAUCUCCUCGAUCUGCGCCUGGCCGAGGAGCCGGCCCCGGGAGCAAGCAGCGGGCGCUGUGGUAGAACAGCCGACGCUGGGGCCGGGACGAGAAGGAGGUGGCGGGAGCGAACAGCGGUGGCGGAUGGGAGCGAGCAAUGGCCAGACGGAGCGGAUCCGGCGCAGGGUGACCUCCAUCCCGCGGAUCUGACAGCGGCGGCGGGAGCAAGCGGCGGUCAAUGGGAGCGAGCUGCCAGUGCCGAGAGCGAGCAGUGGCGGCUCAUGGGCGAUGAUGACGACGAUGACACCGACCCCGACAACAACGACGUGGGUGGCAGGGGCGGCGGCACCCCCGACAACG